rnacentral:rRNA from 1 species
AUUGAACGCUGGCGGCAGGCCUAACACAUGCAAGUCGAACGGUAACAGGAAGAAGCUUGCUUCUUUGCUGACGAGUGGCGGACGGGUGAGUAAUGUCUGGGAAACUGCCUGAUGGAGGGGGAUAACUACUGGAAACGGUAGCUAAUACCGCAUAACGUCGCAAGACCAAAGAGGGGGACCUUCGGGCCUCUUGCCAUCGGAUGUGCCCAGAUGGGAUUAGCUAGUAGGUGGGGUAACGGCUCACCUAGGCGACGAUCCCUAGCUGGUCUGAGAGGAUGACCAGCCACACUGGAACUGAGACACGGUCCAGACUCCUACGGGAGGCAGCAGUGGGGAAUAUUGCACAAUGGGCACAAGCCUGAUGCAGCCAUGCCGCGUGUAUGAAGAAGGCCUUCGGGUUGUAAAGUACUUUCAGCGGGGAGGAAGGGAGUAAAGUUAAUACCUUGGCUCAUUGACGUUACCCGCAGAAGAAGCACCGGCUAACUCCGUG